rnacentral:rRNA from 1 species
GUAGGGAAUAUUGGGCAAUGGUCGGAAGACUGACCCAACCAUGCCGCGUGCAGGAAGACGGCCCUCUGGGUUGUAAACUGCUUUUAUCUGGGAAGAAAAAGGCCAUGCGUGGCAAAUUGCCGGUACCAGAUGAAUAAGCACCGGCUAACUCCGUGCCAGCAGCCGCGGUAAUACGGAGGGUGCGAGCGUUGUCCGGAUUGAUUGGGUUUAAAGGGUUCGUAGGCGGCUGAUUAAGUCAGCGGUGAAAGACUUCGGCUUAACCGGAGCAGUGCCGUUGAUACUGGUUGGCUUGAGUGUCGGAGGGGUACAUGGAAUUGAUGGUGUAGCGGUGAAAUGCAUAGAUACCAUCAGGAACACCGAUAGCGAAGGCAUUGUACUGGCCGACAACUGACGCUGAUGCACGAAAGUGUGGGGAUCGAACAGGAUUAGAUACCCCGGUAGUCC